rnacentral:lncRNA from 1 species
CACACAUCAUAUAUAUAUACAUCAAAGUUUGUUUCUGUCCUCUAAUAACCCUCUUUAGUAAGUUUGAGCUUACUAAUCUCUGUUAGCACUCGGAACUCUGGCCUGGAUAAUUGACUUUCAUCAUCAUGAUAUUUGCCUUCACGUGGAAUGACAUGCUUCAUGAUGAACGAGCAGAUGUCCUCAACUAUGUUGUCUAAAGCACGUUCAUCCAUGCGCUCCGCCGUCCCUUGCUUAUAUACCUGCA